AGUAGACAACCACCAUCUAUUUACAAUAAUUUUAAUAGUAUCAAAUCUAAUCAGCCCAAUCUCGUUCCCACAGGACUAACUAUUAUACUCCCUGGUGUUGCUCAGCUGCCAUUCCUGUCCAGGUGCAUAGUUUUCAAACUCUUAAACCGCUGGACCGUACAUCUAUGCCUUGACCGCCGUCUGCCGCACUCCACCGUCCAGGUAAGUUGUCAUUCAUCUUCUUGAUCUCCCCCACCCCCUCUUCUGUUAUUUGUACGUCGGUUGCCGUCCUCACCGUCGUCACUGGUACCAUCGUUUGGUAGCUGGAAUAGUUGAACCUACCAAUUAGGGGAGUUUCGACACCAUUUGGUGGGUAUCUUUAGUUUGGAUUUAUUUUGUUAUGUAUGGUUGGUUGGCUUAAGAAUGUCUCGUCCUUACUAUCUCCUGAUCAAAAUCGGUUGUUACGGAGAUCUUGACUGAUGUUAAUUAGUGUACAGAGAUUUUUCCUCAUCCUUUUCAGGAUUGGCUUUUACCCACUCCCAAAUAUUCGUUACACACCUUAAACGCUUUAAAUUCAUAGGUUUAAGCUUGUUCCAAUAUGGAUCAACAACCGUUUGAGUUUUUUUUUUCUUUUUUGUGAACUUCAAUGGAAAUUAUCCUUGAAACCUUUCAAAAUUCAUUCAAGUUGUAGUUUAGCUUCUAAUGCUUACGAUUUUCUACUUGUGUCUUUGAAUUGAUAUCGAACCAAAUUGAACUCUUUUCACCAAGUACUCAUGUUUGUUUUGGUGACUUUUAUGUAUUAGAGUUUUGUUUAGUUUGUUUCAAACAAAAUUAAAGUAGUUUAGAUUAGUUUAUUAUAAAGUGAAGGAGUAUGUCAGGACGUUCUUCUUUGAUUAUGCCGCAGGUAUGGUAGUCACAACUAUAAGAAAAAUGGUGUACGACGACCGUUAUCGUAAAUAAAAUCUGUGACAAUGACUGUUAUUUAUUGUCAUAGAAUCGCUUGUCAUGGAAAGACGAGAUGACAGUUUUAAAAAACGGUCACAAUAAGUAUUUUCAUGAUAGAAAAUAACAAAACGUCAAAAUAUUACAAUAUAAAACAAUUUCGAAAAUAGAAAAAACUCAUAAAUCCAUAAUGAAAAAGCUCACAGACCCAUAAUGAGAAAUACAAAAAAUGUCCUCGUCACAUACCCAUAUGAGAAAUACAAAAAAUGUCCUCGUCAACACGCUAUUCAUUUGCCAUUUCCGCACGUAAUAUAUUUGGUACAAAAUUGUUUAGGUUUGGCUAUCUAAAUCUAAAAUAUGUUUUUAAAGAUUAUUUAGUACAUGAUCGUUUAGAUUUGUCGAAUGUUUAGAUUUGGAGUCGUUUAGAUUUGGUUAGACGAUCGUUUAAAUUUAGCUAUCUAAAUCUAAACAAUUUUUAUUCAAGAUUCUUUGGUACAUAGUCGUUUAGAUUUGGCUCACAAUCGUAUAUCCAAAUCUAAAGGAUUUUUUUUCAAGAUUCUUUAGUACACGAUCACUAGAAGAAAACCUGUCUACUAUGACAGUUAUAUAUCUCAAAAAAUGAAUGGGAAAAUAAAAAACUGUCACAAAAUAGAAAAUUUCGCGUUUUUGGCGGGAAAAGACGGAAUUUUUCGGAAAACACUUUCCGCGACAAUUAUUUAAUGUCAUAGAAUGUUACCAUUAAAAAAUUUAUUAUUUUAUAUUUAAAAAAUUAAAAUUACAUAUUUGUAUUUUAAAAAAAACCCAAAUUCCCCAAAAAUUUCCCCAAUUUCUUCCUCCCAUCCACGUGCCCUAAUUUCCCCAAUUUCUUCCUCCCAUCCGUGUGCCCUAAUAGCACCCCCUCCCGCCCGUCCGUCCGUUCGCAAUCGCAUUGUGCCCAAAAUUUCCCCCAUUCCUUCCGUUCGCGUUUCUCCCAAUUCCGGUCAUCUUAAGUCCCGUCGCCACCACCACCCCCUCCUGCCCGUCCGUCCAAACCUCCUUCACCAACCCGUCGCCACCACCCCCGUCUUCUCCAAACCUCUGCAAUCAACCUAAAGCUUCAAAUCGUGGGCGUCGGUCGUCACCCCUCCGCCGGUUUAUUCGAGGCCAACUUAGACCUCUACACAAUGGACAAGUCAUGGAUGACCCAAAAUAGGAUGUCAAGAGAAUAUGAUUUAGGAGUCGAAAGGUUCAUUAAAUUUGGGUUGAGUCAUGCCAGAGGUCUUAAUUCAAUUAGAUGUCCAUGUUUGAAUUGCGGCAAUCGUUUACUUAAGGAUGUCUCAACAGUUCGGUAUCAUUUGUAUGCCAAUGGAAUUGAUAAGAGUUACAAGGUAUGGUUCUGGCAUGGUGAAGAAUUGAACUCAGAUAACGUUGCCAACACGAUGGAAAAUACAGUAGACGAAACUGAUGAAAACGAUGAUUUAUUUAAUACAAUUAAUAUGGUUCAAUCUGUUCAGGAACAAUCUUGUAAUGCAUCAAAUACCUUCGACACUAUGUUUGAUGACGCGAAGAAACCCUUAUACCCAGGAUGUAAGAAAUUCACAAAGUUAUCAGCCCUCGUGAGAUUGUAUAACCUGAAGGUUAGGUAUGGUUGGACGAAUACUAGCUUCUCUGAAUUACUGUCCAUAACAAGUGAUCUAUUACCUGAUAAGAAUGAAAUUCCAUGUUCUUUGUACGAAGCGAAGAAAACAUUUGGUGCCCUAGGACUGAGUUACCAAAAGAUUGAUGCAUGCCCUAAUGAUUGUUGCUUGUACAGAAAAGAAUAUGAAAAGUUGACCAAGUGCCCUAAGUAUGGUUUGUCAAGGUGAAAGAUCGCUAAGAACUCAAAAAAGGAACAAAGUGGUGUGGCUGCUAAGCAGAUGUGGUACUUUCCAAUAAUUCCAAGAUUUAUAAGAAUGUUCAAGAGAUUUGAAAAUGCUAAGAACUUGCGUUGGCAUGCGAUAGAUAGACAAGUUGAUGGUAUUUUGAGACACCCGGCUGACACUCCAUCAUGGAGGUUGAUAGACCACAUGUGGCCAACCUUUGGGUCAGAACAGAGAAAUCUCCGUUUGGGUUUGUCUACUGAUGGAAUUAACCCAUUUGGAGAUAUGUCGACGACGUACAGUUGUUGGCCCAUCAUCACUACAAUAUACCACCUUCCACCAUGGCUGUGUAUGAGAAGAAAACAUUUGAUGCUGACAAUGUUAAUAUCAGGUCCAAAGCAACCGGGCUACGAUAUCAAUACGUACUUAGCACCUUUAAUUGAUGAUCUACAAAUGAUAUGGACGGAUGGAGUUCGUUGUUUCGAUGCAUAUAAGGAAGAAUAUUUCACACUGCGGGCUGUCUUAUUAUGGACCAUCAACGAUUUUCCAGCAUACGGUAAUCUAUGCGAUUCUAGUGUGAAAGGAUAUAAGGCUUGUCCAAUAUGUGGAGAGGAGACUACUUCACACAAUUAUGGUACAAGGACGAAGUUCAAGCUUGUUCAAGUUCAUGGAUGCCAGAUCUGUAAGUUACUCGAGUUACAAACAAUCGCGUGCGCAGUUGUUGAAUGCUCGACUUCUCGGAGCCGAGUAUGACCAAGUAGUAUUGUUCCCAUACAACUCUGGCAAUCACUGGACAUUGGUCGUUGUUAAUCCUACAAAGGGUGCUGCAUAUUGGAUUGACCCGUUGAAGAAUCGGAUUGACGGAGACAUGAGUGAAGUGCUUCAAAUGUCAUUCAAUUGAUCAAAGAAGAAAAAACCAAAUUGGAAGGUUGUUAAGUGUCCCAAACAAAAUGGGGUGGUAGAAUGCAGGUACUAUGUUAUGCGAUUCAUGCGGGACAUAAUUUAUGCGAGGAGUACUUCGAUUGUAGUUGUUAUGAAAAAUUUACCUCCUACGUACUCUCAAGAUGAAAUCGAUGAAGUUAGAUCGGAAUUGGCGGAGUUCCUUUCUAAGCACGUACAUCGUGCUUAGCACCAGAUUAGGAAACAACAUUUUUUGAAGUAUUUUGUGGGGAUUUUUUGUUAAUAUAAUUUUGUUAAACCCGAACGACACACAAGAAAAUGUUAAGCACAUUGUUUUGAAAAGACUUAAGCAUGAAAGGGGAAGAGUUCGAUAUAUAUGUGACUGGCUCAUGGAAUUUUGUUAUUUGGUGCCAUACUGCAUUGGGACAUGAAUCUUCUUGCAAUCAAAUAACUGCCGAAGUACUGCAGUCUUCCAAAAUAUGGGCAACUUUGUCAUACACAUGGGAUAAUGUUGGGCACUGCAUUCAAGUAAGACGCUAUAGACCUACAUUGCCGCAAACCAACAAUGAAUGGUUUUUUGUUCUAAGGACUAGGAACAACCCAAGAAGUUGUUCAAUUUGCAGUGGCCAUUUGGUUGGACGUUCUUCUUCUCCUUGAUCUCUUUCUCUUCUUCUUAGGAACUUCAUUUUCAUUAUCAGAUUUGAUAUCCAUUACCAUAUUAUGUUCGACAUCUGUAAUAUGAUAAUCUGGUUCUUCCACUUCUUCUUGCAGUGACCAUUUGUUUCUUAUCAUUAUGAGCUAUAUUAAGGGUCAAGUGAGAACUCAUAUUCCCAAGGGAAAGAUCUCCCACAAGCAAAACUCUUAUUACAGAGCUUGCAAACAUGUCUUGACCCUAAAUUAGCUUCCAUUCACGAAAGCCUAUUAUUUCCCAACACACCCAAAAUGAAAACUAAAUACAAGACCCAAUACACAAUGAAAACAGAAAAACAUGUUUGCAGAAUAUGAAGAGGGACCACCAUGAGUGGGGUAGUAAAAUGAAUAGAGAAGGGGAGAGUGAGAGGGGGUAUGUUUUUGGUAUGUGUAUUCUGGAGAGAAAGAGUAGCAGAUAGACCCUUCAAAGGCAUUCCAUCACUUGCCUGGUCUUCCAAAAUAUGGUAUUCCAUCAUCUAUGAAUUGCUAAAAAAGUUCACAACACAACACAACAAAAUCUGGUAUUCCAUCACAACACACUUCACAACACACCCAAAAUUGCUGAUCCUACUACUUGAGUAACACACUAGAACUCUGCAUCACUUCACAAUACAUGAUUUGCUUAAAAACUAUUAUUUCCACUUCAACCGACUAUCUUUGAUAAGCCAAUUCUAAAACAAAACUAAGCAUAUCAUCUCUUGAAUAUACCCUUAUAAAGAAAUUUAGAAAAUAUACCAACAAAAGAUCAAGACCAAGCAGAGAAGUCCAUUUAUCUUCAUGCAACGCAAAGGAAUCACCCAAAACUACCCAUCUUUCCAAGGCAACUUUAAAUCCACAGGUUCAACUGGAGUCGACAACUUCAUGAGUUUUCUUUCAAAAAACAUUUUCAGAGACGAACAUUCUUGGUUGGUCGUUUAUGCUUCUGCAGAAAAUCUUGUUAGAUGUAUUCUAAUGCUAUUUAAAAUAUUUUUUGAUUAAGGGCUAGAAUUCCGUACAUGUGGAUUAUUGAAACUUGUAUUAAGAUGUACAAAUAUUAUAAAUCGUAUUAUAGUGUAUAUAUAUUAAAGUAUUGGCUAUUUUUUUGUA